GUUAAAAAUAAUUUAUUCUGAUGUGGUAGGCCCAAUGAGAGUUCAAUCAAAUGCGGGAAACAAAUAUUUUGUUACAUUUAUUGAUGAUUGUACUCGUUGGUGUGAAGUUUUUAUGUUGAAAAAUAAAAGUGACGUCUUGUCAAAGUUUAAAAUAUUUAAAUGUCAGAUCGAAAAUUUGACAGGUAAACAAAUAAAAUAUUUCCAUUCCGAUAAUGGCAAGGAAUUUGUGAAUAGUGAUUUUUCGAAAUUUUUACAAGAAAAUGGAAUAAAAAGGAGGUUGACUACGCCGUAUUCACCGCAGAGUAAUGGAAUUGCAGAACGGAUGAAUCGCACCUUACUGGAGAAGGCAAGAUAACAUUCGGUGCGAAAGUUCAUGUUUUGGAAAAGGAGCCAGGAAAGGAUAAGUUCGCAGCACGAAGUUCUCCCGGCAUUUUUGUGGGCUACCCGGCUGAAUCUGGUGGCUAUAGGGUGUGGAUAUCCGAGAAAAGAAAAA